rnacentral:RNase_P_RNA from 1 species
CCAGGGGGCCGGGCAGCCGCGUUGGAGGCAACUCCACCGAGGAAAGUCCGGGCUCCACGAAGCGAGGGUGGCGGGUAACGCCCGCCGGGCGAGCGGCCGGAUUUGAAAGGGUUUGGCCGCGAAGCUCAGGGAAAGUGCCACAGAGAGUAGACCGCCGAUGGUUCCGGAUCAGGUCCGGAACACAGGCAAGGCUGAAAGGGUGCGGUAAGAGCGCACCGGGGCGCUGGUAACAGGGUCCGCAUGGCAAACCCCACCCGGAGCAAGACCGAAUAGGGGCGGCGCGCCCGCAAGUCCUUUGGGGCAAGCGGGCAGGUGGGUUUCGACCGAGCCGCCCGGGUUGGUUGCUUGAGCUGCGGAGCAAUCCGUAGCCUAGAUGAAUGGCUGCCCCUGCGGGCGGGUCCGAAAGGAUACCACCCGCAGGACAGAACCCGGCUUACAGGCCCCCUGGCAUU